ACGGCUCAGUAACACGUGGACAACCUGCCCUUAGGUUGGGUAUAAACCCGGGAAACUGGGUAUAAUACCCGAUAGGUCUCGAUUGCUGGAAUGCAUCGAGAUUUAAAGCUCCGGCGCCUAAGGAUGGGUCUGCGGCCUAUCAGGUAGUAGUGGGUGUAGCGUACCUACUAGCCUACGACGGGUACGGGUUGUGAGAGCAAGAGCCCGGAGAUGGAUUCUGAGACACGAAUCCAGGCCCUACGGGGUGCAGCAGGCGCGAAAACUUUACAAUGCUGGCAACAGCGAUAAGGGAACCUCGAGUGCCAGGUUACAAAUCUGGCUGUCGAGAUGCCUAAAAAGCAUUUCAUAGCAAGGGCCGGGCAAGACCGGUGCCAGCCGCCGCGGUAACACCGGCGGCUCGAGUGGUAACCGUUAUUAUUGGGUCUAAAGGGUCUGUAGCCGGCCGGAUAAGUCUCUUGAGAAAUCUGGCAGCUUAACUGUCAGGCUUUCAGGAGAUACUGUCUGGCUCGAGGCCGGGAGAGGUGAGAGGUACUUCAGGGGUAGGGGUGAAAUCUUGUAAUCCUUGAAGGACCACCAGUGGCGAAGGCGUCUCACCAGAACGGACCUGACGGCAAGGGACGAAAGCUAGGGGCACGAACCGGAUUAGAUACCCGGGUAGUCCUAGCCGUAAACGAUACUCGCUAGGUGUCGGCCACGGUGCGACCGUUGUCGGUGCCGUAGGGAAGCCGUGAAGCGAGCCACCUGAGAAGUACGGCCGCAAGGCUGAAACUUAAAGGAAUUGGCGGGGGAG
rnacentral:rRNA from 1 species